GCGUCACCUCCCGCCUCCGGGCGCCGCUGCGGGGCUCCCCGGGCACAGCGCGGCACGGCACGGCCGCCAGGCUGCCUUCGGUCAGCAGUGCGGCUUCGGGAAUCCAAAUAAAGGACAAACCGAACGUCAGUGCCCGUUCGUGUCUGCGUCAGUGAAUAAAACAAAAGUGCAAAAACCGGGGAUGGGAAAUGGAAGCGGAAUUGUGUGUAACGAUGGGCGCUUUGUAACGGCGGUGUGAGCAGAGCCGUCAGGGAAAUAACGGCCCGCUGUGUUUGUUUUCUCUAUGAGAUUGGAAUGACUAUGAAGGCACUAAAACACCGGGAUGUUAUCCUUGUUAGUCACACAUCCCUGACGUUUCUUCAGGCAGCAGAUGUAAUUUUUAACAUAAAUUGCUUUUAGCUAAUGAGGCUGCAAUUAGAUGAGCCAAGCUUUGGUUUAAAAACAAGCAUUCUUUUGGCCGGCAGCUCCUCCCUGGUGACAGGGAAUUCAAACAUCCUCUUUUUUCUUUUUUUCUCUUUUUUUUUUUUAAUACAGCAUAAAGCCUUUGCCCGGCUCAAGAGGGCAGAGCGUUCCCCGCUCCGUUGGCUCACGCUUGGCUUCCUGGAGAUCGCGCUUUGCUUUUGCAGAGGUGGCAAUGCGUUGUGAGGUCAGAUGUGGCACUGGGGCACACAGUGGUUGCCUGCCUGCAGCCUGGCUGGCUCUGCCAGCAGCAGCGCUGAGCCCGCCUGGUGCUGGAGGGCUGAAUCACAGCACCACAGAGAUGGGGAAACGCAGCAAGUCAGCGUGGAGAAAAUCCCUUGUGCUCCUGAUUAAUGAAGGGAUUUUGAGAAAUGUCCUAGCGCUUAGUAGUGGCUGUCAUGCUUACUUCAUUUUCAUAUGUUAAUUAAAAGUGCGUCUUCCUCCAGCAAACGGCGAUCCUCAUGGCAUUAGAAAACGUUUCACAGUGAAAACAUUCUCACUAUGAAGUUAUAAUGCGCUUGAUUAUUAUCAGUGCCUUUCAUUUCCCUUUCUGUGGGUUAAAGUGCAGUAGUGUCCUCUGCUCUAAUGGUUUCUGACAUUGGUGAUAUCUGUGCUGGAUUGCUGGUGGUUUAAAAACUGCUAUUAAUCACAGAAAGAUGUGAUGAGCAAAGCCCAUCAUCAGAAGCGGUGCUUUACCCAAAUACAACUCCUGGUUCCUGGGGAUUUCCUGCAUCUUCAAGGAGUUUUAAUGGUUUCACUGUUCUCUUGAAACCAGAGAGUGAACUGGUUGAAAGACCCCAACCACGCUCUUCGCAUAUAUGGACAAGGCUCCAUCCUAUGCCUGGGAAUGACUCUUAAUAAACUGUGGAAGUUAUUCUUAAAGGCAUCAUAAGAUAAUGGUGAAUCUGCCUGGUCUGCUAAAACCCACCACACAAUUUCUUUUGUGUGUUAAUAGUCCUUAUAACUACUUUAAAUGAUAGCUUUAAUUACUUUAAUGAAGUGUCUCUUCAUAGAAUUAUUGAAUGUUUUCUUUCUCAUUACCUUUUUUAGCUCCGUGUUAUCAGCGGAGCACUUAAAGCAUUUGGAUAAGCUGCAGAAUGUUUGGUUGCUUUUUCAGAACUGCUUUUGGCUUUCUGAAAAAAUGUAUUUGUGGAGAAUCAUUAAACAUUAAUUACGUAGAAAAUAAAUUACUAGGUAAGAAAUGACAAAUAGUUGGAAAAAAAAACAAAUAAACCAAAAAUGUCAACCAGCUGCUGUAAAAUGACGGGCUUCUGUUCUCACAGUGGAGAACAGAGCUUUCAAGCAGAGAAUCGAUCAGCAAAGCAAACAUGAACCAAGUCACCCAGCUCCUCUGGGUGGAGCUGUGCCGGGGCUCAGCCUGCCGUGCUCCCACUGCCUGCUCUCGGCUUCUCACAUUGCAAAUGAAGCCCAGCAGGUUUGGUUUGGCCCUCACUGGCAUCCUCACAGCUUUCCUUCUCCCCUCUUCUUUCUGGGACUUUUUCCCACGCUGUUAAGCAGCCCUCGCUCUGCUCAGACAGCCAUGUGAUGCCACAGAUGGCUCUUGGCGUGAAGACACAGCAGUGAGCUCAUUAUUCACUUUUACUGAUGAUGAAACAGAAGCAUUGGAGGAGUGGCGGCUUUCCCAGGGCUGGGAUGAGAGAACUGCUCCUAAAGUGCUGCAGAAUUGGGCAGGGAUUAAUCCUGUCACGCUGCAUUGCAAAAUAACAACCCCUAAAGCCCUGUUUGGGAUUGUUUGGGAGAAAAGGGCUGUUUUUAAACAGUGCUGUGAGCUGGAACAGUUAUUGUAGAACUGAGUUGUCCAAACUUCCUGAUCCGUGACAAUGGUUCCGGGGAACUGGGUUCAUUGGCAGAUCAGCAGUGACACAAAACUGCACAGACUGUCUCUGCAGCUCUACAUGUUGAGCCAGAGGUGUCUGAGAGGCACCAUGCCAUGCAUUUACUUGUGCAGAAAAGAUACCAAACUGCAACUUGUGACUUUUUUCAGAGAAACUCUGAGUGUAGCAACAGGACAAUGAAAGUCAGCAAGGUGGGAAAUGUUUCCCGUAAAGGGCAGAGUGGCACAGCUCCUUAUUUAUUUAGAUUUAUGCAUAAGCCACAAGAUUUGAUGUGCACUUGCUGUGGCUUGUCCCGAUGCACACCUUGGCUGUGCAAAUUCUACCUGGAAGCCAACCCGGGUGAAAAACACAGAUGGAGGGCAGGGUUAGGAAAGCCGCCAGAAGAGCAGGCAGAGAUGCAGCCCCUGUGCGUUGAGACCAGGGUCAUAACAAAGUCAUGAAUGCGACUUAAAAGGUGAUGGAAGUUAUUUGCUAAGAGUUAGGCUGAGCAUGCCUGCAGGGCACACGGGGCGAAGGGUCACAGUACUGCCAUGGGGCACUGCCCAUGCUCUGUUGCUGCUCCCACACGUGAUGCCUGUAGCCGAGCUAACAGCACGAGGAUGAUGAGUUGGGAGAGAUGCUUGGGUUUUAGAAAUCCUGGAACACUGAUCAUAAUAACACCUACACCCCCGAAGCUAUUAAAUACGACUUACUCAGAAGAGCCGUGACUGUAACAUCUCUAUUUGUCUUGCUAGCAACAAUUAAAAGCUCAUUAACAAAAUGAGGAUUUGGUGGGAUAUGUGCUGCCUUGUUGUCAUGUUGCCAUGACUUCAAGGUGAGGUUCCCUUCGGUUCCUCACCAUGUGGGUGGAACUGAGCCCAGAGUCCCUGGUGAGCCCCAAGCUGCUGUGGCAGUUGCUGUUCCUGUGGUCCCUGCUGGGCACUCCUACUGUGCUGCCGGGUGCUCUGGAGGACGAGAAACAGAAACACUGAGCAGCCAUGCACUGUGACCACUUGUCUGCUGGAAGCAAACAUGAACCAAAUGCUGUGCCAUGCCAGGGCUGAUGGACAGAAAUCUGUGCCCUUUCCUUGCCAUGAACUCCAUCUCAGCACCUCCAAACCACAGCAGAGUGAUGCUCUGUGGCCUAGGGAGCACAGCCAGACCCUGCCUCAGAACAGGCACUGCAUGGGCUGCACUGAGGGGAGAGGGUGAGGAUGGACAGCAUGGGAUCCAGAAGCAGUAAAUUACACAAAGUCGAGUUUUCUUCCUGUCUCUUCAGUACUUCUAUUAGAUAAAGCUGCCUUUUGUUUGGACAAAAGUGCUGAAGUGCUUCCAAAAGCUCCUCUGGGUUUCGGAGCUGGUUUUACCGGCCACAGAAGGCGAUGUUCAGGUGCCCUUCUUGUGCAGGGCAUUACUGUCUGCACAAAGAGCCACAUCGCUGAUAGCAAAGCCCAAAUGUCACAUGCAUCCCACCAGAAGAGCUGCCUUGCCCUCUUGCUGGAGAUGCAAGCAGGAUUUCAGCAACCUGUUUCAAAAUAAAUCACAGUUGCCUUCAGAUAUGCUGGCAUAUCCCAGGAUGUGGGGCUGCUCUUGCUGAGGCUGGCUGGGGCAGCGCUAGUGGCCCCCCCUGCACCUGGGCCGAGCAGCCUGGAGCAUCUCUCUAAUUAAAACCAAAUCCCUCAUGGGCUCUUACACCCAGAGAUGUAUUACAGGCUUAAGGGACGCAUAAAAUGUGUAUUUAUUGAUUGGGCCAAGUAUUGUAGAUCCUUCUGCAAAAUGAACUGAGAGCAUCAGUAUGAUUGACCAGGGAGGGCAGCUGUGUCAGUAUAGCAUCAAGAAUAGUGAUUCCAGAUUCCAUUAUUUUCCCUCUUUUUCCUUCACUCAGUUAGGGAACUGCUAGAGCCUAAGUAAAGCACAGAAGUGGUGCUGACCUACAUCACAGACCUGCAUUUGGAACACCGUGCAUCCUUGCUGUGCUGGAGUGAGUUCUGCAUCGUCUGAGGGCAGCAGCUCUGUUCUGUGCCCCAGGAGCUCAAUAGGAGGGCUGGGGGUUCCUGGCCAGGCUCUGGGUGCAUCAUUGCUGAUGGAAGCCUGCAGGGCAUAAAUUACAGGGUUGCUGCAAUCCUGCAUGAGCACCCAAAUAGCUCACUCUGAGCUAGCUCACUCACCCAAUUACUUUAUUAAUGAGUGUCCAAUUAGCCAGGUGCGAGUGGCCAGCAAUGUCUGCAUGAACACCCUGUUUAGGCAUGAGUGCCUGACAGAUGCACAUAUGAGAUCCCCAUUGGUGAAUGCAGAGCACCCAAUGUUUUCUGUGUGAGCACCCAGAGUCUCCGUGUAGGAGCACUUGCUUCAUUCAGGAAGAUGCCUGAGUGCCAAACAGUGCCCAUGUGAGCAGCCAGAGGGCUCUUGUUUGUGCACUUGGUGGACUUACACAGUCACAACUGGCUCCUGCACAAGUGCAGGAUCAGCCCAUGCAUGAAUGCUUGGUUUCUGCAUGCAUGAAUGCCUAAUUACUGCCCACAUGAGCACCCAAUCAAUGCAUGAAUGAGCACCCAAGUAUUUUGCACAAGUGCCCAGUUACUUUGCAUAUUAACGCCCAUUUAGUGCAUGCAUGACUGUUCACUUAAUUCAUGCAUGAACACUCAACUUGCAUGUGAGCCUGCUGUGUGUUCCCUGAGUGGGGACACUCCUGUGGGCUGCGACCACGGAAGGAUGAGGAGAGAGCAAUGUGUGGCACAUGGCUCUGAAACAACUUUUUCCUUUGGUGUUUAAGGCCCUUCUAAGCCUGCCUUUCACCUGUGAGGAGAACAGACCGGAGGGAGGUCCCAGCCUGUUUCUUGCCUGGGAUGCUGGAGCUGCCCUCGUCCUGCUGCAGUGUACAUACAGGCACUAAUUGCAUUCCUGUGCUAACGUGACCCUGCCCAGAUUCCAGAUAGGUGCUUUGCAGCUUGUCCCUUUGAGGAGGUCUGAGAUGCUGGGCCCUUUGCUUGAGGUACCAGUCCCAGAAAGAAGAUUAUCUGUGAUUGCAAUGUCUCCAGACCAGGAAAGCCAUCACAACAGCCCUGCUGGGAUAUUUGUGCUCUGACCACAGCAGACAGCUCUUGGCAGAGGGGCUGAUACAAUGAAUGGCCAAAUGUCCCUCGUAUGCACUGCCAUGGUGCCAUCAGGAUGCUAGGGGUAUCACUGCCAUGCCACAUCCCCGAGCCACGAGAGAGCUGGGAGAUGAGUUAAAAAAAGAAGCUGCUCUUCCGCUGCUGCUGUUUUUAUUGAUGAUUAUUGGCAAACAGAACAGCUGAUGGCAGACUCUGGAAAUGAGCAGGUAAAGGAGGCACGAUGGAGGAAGGAAGACAGAAGGAGUUACUGCAGGGAGAGAAGACAAAGGCAAUGCUUGUACAGUUGUCUCUGUAGAUGUGUGGUUUCACUGCAGAUAUUUCCCUGGCUUCAGGACAGAGACCCAGGCAGAAAGGCCAUUCCUGAGAACAGAGGAGCCAAGCCACGGCUGGGGCUGGAAAUGUGCCUGGUCAGGAAGCGCCUGGCCGCAGCGCAGAGCUGGACUGGCGGAUGAGCACAGCCUUAGAUGGCAAGCAGCUCUGCACAGCCAGGCCCUUUUCAUCUCUCUGAAGUGCCUUAUAUAGUGCACCCAGAGCAAUUUAUAAAUAAAUGUUUUUUGUCACGAUUUA